rnacentral:rRNA from 1 species
GAUGAACGCUGGCGGCGUGCCUAAUACAUGCAAGUCGAGCGAAGCGGGGACGGGUGAGUAACACGUGGGUAACCUCCUAUGAGACUGGGAUAAUUUCGGGAAACCGGACCUAAACCCGUUACUUACAGAUGGAUCUGCGCUGCUUUAGCUAGUGGGUAGGGUAACGGCUUACCAAGGCAACGAUGCCUAGCCGGCCUGCGAGGGUGAUCGGCCACACUGGAACUGAGACACGGUCCAGACUCCUACGGGAGGCAGCAGUGGGGAAUCUUCCGCAAUGGGCGAAAGCCUGACGGAGCAACGCCGCGUGAGUGAUGAAGGUCUUCGGAUCGUAAAGCUCUUUUAUUGGGGAAGCGGUACCUAAACAGAAAGCCACGGCUAACUACGUGCCAGCAGCCGCGGUAAUAC